rnacentral:sRNA from 1 species
CCGAGAGUGGAGCCUCCGCGCUCGAACA